GGGUUGCGGAACAUUCUCCUCAUAUCCGAUGGCCACCUUCAGAGUGAGAGUCUGACCUUGCAGCUCGUGAAAAGAAAUAUCCAGCACACCAGAGUGUUCACCUGCGCUGUUGGUUCUACAGCGAAUCGUCACAUCCUAAGGACCUUGUCUCAGUGUGGUGCUGGAGUGUUUGAGUAUUUUAACUCAAAAUCUAAGCACAGUUGGAAAAAACAGAUAGAAGCCCAAAUGGCCAGGAUACACUCCCCAAGUUGUCACUCCGUCUCUGUGAAGUGGCAGCAGCUUAGCAGAGAUGCCCCUGAGCCCCUGCAGGCUCCCACGUGCGUGCCCUCCUUGUUUCACAAUGAUCGACUCCUGGUCUAUGGAUUCAUUCCUCAUUGUACACAGGCAUCCCUGUGUGC
rnacentral:lncRNA from 1 species